rnacentral:misc_RNA from 1 species
GACGGAGGGGGCUAGCGUUGUUCGGAAUUAUUGGGCGUAAAGGGCGCGUAGGCGGCCUGGCAAGUGGAAGGUGAAAUCCCUCGGCUCAACCGAGGAACUGCCUUCCAAACUGCCUGGCUUGAGUCCGGGAGAGGCGAGUGGAAUUCCCAGUGUAGCGGUGAAAUGCGUAGAUAUUGGGAGGAACACCAGUGGCGAAGGCGGCUCGCUGGACCGGAACUGACGCUGAGGCGCGAAAGCGUGGGGAGCAAACGGG